UUUCAACGAGCGGCUGUGAAUCAAUUUCACAGCCAAAUUAUCCCAAGUCGGGUGUUUUGUUUUGCCAGUAAACUGAGCUCGUUAAACGCAACACCUCGUGAAAAGCAGGAAGGCAAAGACAUAAAAUACCGUAUUAUUGUAAAUAGUUAUCUAUAUUUCUAUAUCUCCUGGCAUUGUGUAAACUGUCUGAGGAGUACUUGAUUAAAGAUUAAAGACCCAUGCAACCACAACACUCGGC